rnacentral:lncRNA from 1 species
AGAUAGUUGUAUGCCCUGUAUACGCUGGUUUAGUGUAAGGCAACAAACACUGUCGACGGAUGAUGACGUCAUAGAUGCAUGUACUGCGCAUGUGCGAGCCGGUAAACUAAGGAAAUAAAGCAUGGCGACUGCGACUGAGACUCGGGUGGAUUAUUAGUGUUAAUAUGAAAGAGAAACACUACAAUGGCGACGAGGAUGGGUGUAGCUUGUGCUGAACACCAAGACAAAGUUUCAAGACGGAAAUAAAGAUCCCGAAAGAAAGAUAAAAGUACUGGACUUUAAGGAGUGCAUCAGAAAGUCAUCAUUUCACCAGAAAAGAGGUGUACGUAGGUGAGUUUUGUAGUGUAUGCUAUCGUAAUAUAUUCAUCCUGAAUUCGUUUUUUAUAUGGUAUGAAAAUCGAGAAGGCGUAAAGAAACCAGUCGGUCAAAGCCAAGCUCAUGGGCACAACCUAUGCUCCUCAUCCCCAGGAAAUUUUCGGCGCCAUAAGAUGGCCAGCCCUACUUAUGGAAUCACAGUGGUUGGAACUGCCGAAAACCAACGAAUCGGUGCUCGCUGCUGAUGCACGCGCUCAGCCGCCAGAGGGUCCACCGCCCACCGAGGCGGCCGCUCUGCUUCCAGCGGACGAGAGGGUCUGCUGCUGCGACGGCAGUUUCCAGAUGGUCCAGACCUCUCAGACACUGUUGUGGCUCUCCUAUCAGCCGUCUUGGGUGAUACUCCUGAUGCUGCCAUCUUCUGCCCUGAGAGCAUCUUUAUCAUCGUGGAGAAUGAAACACUCGUCAGUUGUCCCACAAAUCUGGCUGACUCUCUUACUUUUUGGGUAUGUCUAUGCUCUGGACCUACAGUACCCCCAAAAAAUGGAGCUUGCAAUGACAUUUAUUCAGAAAGUGGUGAUGUGCCUUGAGGACAACAAACCACUGAAAGGGACCCAUGUGUAUAUAUAUAUAUAUAUAUAUAUAUAUAUAAUAUACAAUCUUGUGUUUUAUUUCAAACAAGCACUUUAUUUUGACUGAGCUCUUAAAAUGU